GCGCCAAAUUUCAAAUUCUCUUUAGGUCGGUUGUGCCUAUAAAUAGUUCCCAAUUUCGCUUCUUCUCCAAACCGAUCCCCUUUCACCCCGGCUUCUAUACGAUGACCAUAUCUGAGAGAAGCAUGAACCGGCCCGUCGGAAUCAAACCGGAUCCGUCCAAGAAGCCGGUUUACCUCACCAAAGCACAGAGAGAGCAGUUAGCCCUUCAGGACGAGAUCGCCGAUCAGAAACGCUGCCACAAACAUCUUCAGGCUAAGUACAACUGCCCUUCCUCCGAUAACCACUAUUGCGGUAAGAACCGAAAAAGAGAUAGAGACAGGAACAGUGACAGAGAUAGAGAUAGAGAGAAGGAACCGAAUCGAGUUAGAUUGGAGAAUCCGGCAGAGAAGGAACUUGAAGCUAUUCAUGAGCAAUAUUUGGGAUCUAAGAAACCCAAGAAACGGGUGAUUACAUCCAGUGCAAAACUCCGAUCAUCCUUCGACUGGCAGAACUCUGAAGACACUUCUCGUGACGUCAACCCUCUUUAUCAAAACCCUCACGAAGCCCGUCCACACUUUGGUCGCGGAUUCUUUGGUGGAAUCGACAGAAGGGAGCAGAAGAAGCUUGCCAUCAAGAAUGAGAGGGAGAUGCAGGAGGAGAUUUGGAAGAAGGGAGGUGUUGAGGCGACUGCAGUAGAAGCAGCUGCCUUGAAGAAGAAGGAACAAAAUGCUGAUUUGUAUGACACUUUUGACAUGAGGGUUGAUCAACACUGGACAGAUAAGAAGCUGGAGGAAAUGACAGAGAGAGAUUGGAGGAUAUUUAGGGAGGAUUACAACAUAUCCUAUAAGGGGUCGAGGAUACCCCGUCCCAUGAGGAAUUGGGCCGAGAGCAAGUUAACUACAGAGUUGCUUAAGGCCGUUGAGAGGGCUGGCUACAAGAAGCCUUCUCCUAUUCAAAUGGCUUCCAUUCCGCUUGGACUUCAACAACGUGAUGUGAUUGGUGUAGCAGAGACUGGUUCAGGUAAAACUGCUGCUUUUGUUCUCCCUAUGCUGAAUUAUAUCACUAGGCUUCCUCCAUUGAGUGAAGAGAAUGAGGCAGAGGGGCCAUAUGCGGUUGUAAUGGUGCCCACACGAGAACUAGCUCAACAAAUUGAGGAUGAGACCGUCAAGUUUGCACACUAUUUGGGUAUCAAAGUUGUUUCUAUUGUUGGUGGGCAGUCCAUAGAAGAGCAAGGUUUUAGGAUUAGGCAAGGCUGUGAAGUUGUGAUUGCAACACCUGGGCGACUUCUCGAUUGCUUGGAGAGACGUUAUUGUGUUAUGAACCAGUGUAACUAUGUUGUUCUUGAUGAGGCUGACCGGAUGAUUGAUAUGGGUUUUGGACCUCAAGUUGUUGGUGUACUGGAUGCAAUGCCUUCAAGUAAUAUGAAACCAAAGAAUGAGGAUGAAGAGCUUGAUGAGAAGAAGAUUUACCGUACCACUUAUAUGUUCAGUGCUACCAUGCCACCUGCUGUAGAGCGGCUGGCUAGAAAUUACUUAAGAAAUCCUGCUGUCGUGACUAUUGGCACUGCUGGAAAGGCUACUGACCUCAUUACUCAACAUGUCUUCAUGGUAAAGGAAUCUGAGAAAAUCUUUAAGCUGCAGAGGUUUCUGGAUGAGCUUGGAGAUAAGACUGCUAUUGUGUUCAUCAACUCUAGAAAGUGGGUUGACACUGUUGCCAAGAAUCUGGAUAAAUCCGGCUAUAGGGUAACCACACUGCAUGGUGGGAAAUCACAGGAGCAGAGGGAAAUCAGCCUUGAAGGAUUUAGGACAAAGAAGUAUAAUGUGUUAGUUGCUAGUGAUGUUGCCGGUCGUGGAAUUGAUAUACCUGAUGUGGCCCAUGUGAUUAACUAUGAUAUGCCAAACAAACUUGAAGCAUACACCCAUCGUAUUGGACGUACAGGUCGUGCAGGAAAGACAGGUGUAGCCACAACAUUUUUGACCUUGCAGGAUACUGAAGUCUUUUAUGAUCUUACGCAAAUGCUCAUCCAAAGCAACAGUCAUAUUCCCCCCGAACUUGCUAGGCACGAAGCUUCAAAGCUCAAGCCGAGAAGUAUUCCUGGCAGACCACCUAGGAGGAAUGAUAUUGUUUUUACUCAUUAAAGUUGGAACUCAUGCAUAUUCUAUCAUAGUGGUCGAGAGUAAAGAGUUCAUAUAAUGGUAUCUGCUGAAAGAUGGAGUUGGUAGAUAUGGUGAAGGACACCUACAUAGUGCAGUGGUAAAAUCAACAUAUUGCAUUUCAUGUACUGUCAAAGUGCCUUCUCACUGUAAAGAAAGAUGAUGAGACAUUGGAUUAAUUUCUUGUGUGUGAUUGUGCAGCACAGAUUGAAGCUUGGGACUGAUAUCCUGUAGAUAAUAAGCAAUUGAACAGGCAUGAACUUCCUUAGCUCCUUGGAGUUAUCCUAAGUACUUUUUAAUAACAAUACAUUUAUACUUUAUUAAUGAAACAUUUUUUCGUUCCUUGCUUACAUCCUUUUUGCAAUAUUUCUGUCUAUCUUUAUCUAUGCCAACAUUCUGACACCCACCAUUUGUGUAUAUAUGAUUGUUAGCUAGGCUGGCCUUUGCUCUUGUAUUGGGAAUUGGUGGUGGUGGAGGUGUUGCUGUAAACAAAUAUUGGAUAACCUUUUGUUAGUUUGCUUCUUAUGUGAAUCAUGUUUCUGAUUCUCUUGUCUGUUUUAUAUCCUCCCUUGUCACUAGCAUGCUUUUGCUUUUGCUUUCCUUCAGGUUUUCACCGGGAUGUUUAUAUUGGCCGUUGGAAGAGGUACUCUUUUGUCUAUUAUUUUGUUUUGAAAGAAUGAAACAACAUGGUUGGAUUAAACAACAUGCUCUGGCAAUCUAAAUAAGAGUGUCAUGGGUUGCUUUACUUGCUUUUACUUUGAUGAAUAUACAAAAAAUGUUGAAUCUCUCUGCCAUAGAACUUUUUAAGAUUCCAUAAUAGGUUUUAUUAACUACUUCAAAAACUAAAGGCAAUCAGGGUGGAAAUGCAUCUGUUUGAGAGGAACUCUUCUAUUGCUUCACUAAAAGCAAAUUGUGUUUGGUUCUACUGAUUAAUGGAUCCAUUAACUGAUUUGGCAUGAUAUUUAGGCCCUUGUAACUUUGGAAACAAAUUUAAAUACUGUAUCCUCGCCAUCGUGUGAGAAUUCAGCACUCUCACUGAGAGCAUUUUAGCAUGACAAUACUUUUUCGACAAUUCUUAGUGUUGCAAUAAUUGAUCAAACUUUGUGUGAUA